GGCAAGGAGGGGGCCCGGGAGUCGGCGGGUGGCAGGCAGGACUGAGGCUAGACCCACCAUCCUGACGCAACCCCCCGGCCCGCACCCCGAGAAGAGACAGUGAGAGUGGGUCAGCCCCUCUGAGAAGACGGUCCAUCCGGAGGGUCCACUUCCUCUAACCUCCCGACCUGGGGGAGAGGGCGGUGAGGAAGAGGAAAACAAACCAACACGUAACCUCAUUUUAGCCCCUCAAGGACACUGCAAGGGCAGCACUGACGCCAUUUUACAGAUGAGGAAACUGAGACCCAGAGAGGUGUGUCUGCAGAAGGCUCGCCCCAGUAAACCCGCAUGCAGUCCUCCAGUGCAGAGUCGCUUUCCAGGAACCCAUCUAAGGUUCUAGUCACAGACAGAGCCCAGUCUCAACACUGAGUGAGACCCAAGGCAGAGCAGGAGCCAGUUGAGGCCUGCGAUGAGCCUCGAGCCAGGCCCGGGGACCCUUCCCACCCAAGGCAACGAAGCCAGCCCACUGCCGCUCAGAAGUCCCUCUGCUUGAGGAGUUCCUGUUGUGGUGCAGUGGAAAUGAACCCGACUAGUAUCCAUGAGGACGCAGGUUCGAUCCCUGUUCUCGCUCAGUGGGUCGGGCAGAACAAUUCAACCUUUCCAGGCCCAGUCCCAAAUCCUGCCCAACUUUGCACAGUCCAGCCUGGGAAGGCACAGACACAGAAAGGACCCGUCUUUGAACAGAACUGGCCUUCCUUCCAGGGCAGCCAGCUGACAUUGACCAUGGGCUCCCUCACAGACCAGUGUUUCUGCUGACUCUUUGGCUCCUCCAGAAAAGGUCCCAGGGCUGAUUAUCAUUGGCCCAGAUUGGGUCAUGUGACCACCCUGACCCAUUCGUUUUGAUUGGCCAGAAGGGCCAUUACCUGCAGAUGGGUCCACCCCACCUAAACUAAGUAGCCUCAGAAUGGGUGAAGAACUAUUUUUUUUUUUUUUAGAUCAAAGUGCUAUUUUCAGAACAACGGGGAAAGAAUGCCAAAUACACCCCUCCCAAAAAAAAAACCAUGGAAUUAAGGGAAUUUCUGUUUUACAAGCCACCCGAGUCCUGACUAACUGGCUCCAACAUGUCCUUCCAUGGCGACAUCUGAGUUUUGUCAAGACCCUACUACAUGGAAUCGUAGGAGGUGGGGGAGUUCCAGGGGGAGAAGCAGGUAAGUAAGGAGGGCAUCGUGGAAGAGGUGGCCCUGCUCAGAGGACGGACAGCAAGAACCCCUCAAGGCUGUAAUUAAGAAGACACAUAAUUGCAAGUGUUGGCAAGGAUCUGGAGAACUUGGCGCCCUCAUACCCUGCUGGUGGGAAUAUAAAAUGGCACAGAAAACAGUCUGGCACAUCCUCAAAAAGUUAAGGAGUUCCCGUCAUGGCGUAGGGGUUAACAAAUCCGACUAGGAACCACGAGGUUGCGGGUUCAAUCCCUGGCCUCGCUCAGUGGGUUAAGGAUCCAGCGUUGCUGUGAGCUGUGGUGUGGGUCGCAGACGUGGCUCGGAUCCUCUGUUGCUGUGGCUCUGGCGUAGGCCGGUGGCUACAGCUCCGAUGAGAACCCUAGCCUGGGAAUCUCCAUAUGCCAUGGGUGCGGCCCUAGAAAAGGCAAAAAGACAAAAAAAAAUGCAAAAAAAAAAAAAAAGU
ensembl:lncRNA